rnacentral:tRNA from 1 species
GGCGUUGUGGCUUAGUGGUAAAGCGCUUGGCUUCUGAACCGGGGGUCCCGGGUUCGAAUCCUGGUGAAGACU